UACGUAGGGUGCAAGCGUUGUCCGGAAUUAUUGGGCGUAAAGAGCUCGUAGGCGGUCUGUCGCGUCUGCUGUGAAAACUCAGGGCUUAACCCUGAGCUUGCAGUGGGUACGGGCAGACUAGAGUGCGGUAGGGGAGACUGGAAUUCCUGGUGUAGCGGUGAAAUGCGCAGAUAUCAGGAGGAACACCCGGUGGGCGAAGGCGGGGUCUCUGGGCCGUA
rnacentral:rRNA from 1 species